GAUGAACGCUAGCGGCAGGCCUAAUACAUGCAAGUCGAACGGUGUCUUCGGACAUAGUGGCGCACGGGUGCGUAACACGUAUGCAACCUACCUUACAUUGGGGGAUAGCCUUUCGAAAGGGAGAUUAAUACCGCAUAAGACAGUAGCUGGGCAUCCAGCAGCUGUUAAAGAUUUAUCGAUGUAAGCUGGGCAUGCGUCCAAUUAGCUAGUUGGUGAGGUAACGGCUCACCAAGGCAAUGAUUGGUAGGGGAACUGAGAGGUCAAUCCCCCACACUGGCACUCAGAUACGGGCCAGACUCCUACAGGAGGCAGCAGUAGGGAAUAUUGGGCAAUGGACGCAAGUCUGACCCAGCCAUGCCGCGUGCAGGAUGAAGGCGUUAUGCGUUGUAAACUGCUUUUAUACAGGAAGAAACGACUCUUGCGAGAGGCAUUGACGGUACUGUAUGAAUAAGCACCGGCUAACUCCGUGCCAGCCGCCGCCGUAAGAC
rnacentral:rRNA from 1 species